rnacentral:rRNA from 1 species
UACGGAGGGUGCAAACGUUGCUCGGAAUUAUUGGGCGUAAAGUGCGCGUAGGCGGCCAGUUAAGUCAGAUGUGAAAUCCCGGGGCUCAACCCCGGAAGUGCAUUUGAAACUAAUUGGCUUGAGUAUGGGAGAGGGAAGUGGAAUUCCUGGUGUAGAGGUGAAAUUCGUAGAUAUCAGGAGGAACACCGGUGGCGAAGGCGACUUCCUGGACCAAUACUGACGCUAAGGCGCGAAGGCGUGGGGAGCAAACAGG